rnacentral:misc_RNA from 1 species
ACCCUUCUCCGUAAUCGAGCUGCUACGGCCCCUUCCCCUGCCGGUACAUGAGAGGCGGUGCGCUGUUCACUGGCUUCACAUGCACGCACCUCUCACGCGCUGAGCAUCGACUGAACUUGCAUCCGCUUCUGCCCUCCGCCCCAUUCUCCCAUUCGAGGUAUCUUUGUCGAGGAAGUCAACCAUCUGCUUCUCCGAUGGGCAUCGCUGUUCAUUUUUUGUUUUGUUUUUCUUCCUCGUUUUUCUGCGUUCACACACGGCUGCCGCGUCUGCAUGUGUACACAAGCGCGUACGUGUGUGUGUGUGUGUGUGUGUGUGUGUGUGUCGGUGACUGCGUAUUGACUACUUUGCGUCCAUACUGUUGUUCGCGCUUGCCUUUAUUUCUUAUCUUAGGUUUUUCGCUUCAUUGUCGUGUGUGCGUGUGAGCACAUUAAACACACUCUCUUCUCUCCCAUCCUCCUUCUCCCUCUCCCCCAAUAUCCUCCCCAGCACCGGUCUCUCUUUCGCACCGCUGCCAUGGUGAGGCACAUCUUAACAUUUUCUGCCGUUCAUUUUUUCUUCUGCCACGUCUCUUUACCGCUCUGUAGCCUUCUGCUGUUUGUAGGCACGCCCGUGUGUGCGCGUGUGAUCAGUGUCUCGGUGGCGGCGGCUGUCUCACACGUUUACGUUUUGAGGUGCCUUGUCGCUCUGCCACUCCGUCUCUGUGCUUCGUUCCUAACUACACAUCCCUGCACACGCACACACAAGCACAAAUAUAUGCAUACAUACACAUACGCACAUUAAAAUAUCUUUUCUAUCGAAGUAUUCCCCCCCUCCUCCCCCUCUCCAUUCUCUCCCUUCCCUCUCUUUUUCUUUCUGGCUGUUGUGUGGCUCAUUCCCGAGUACCACUCGCCGGGCUCCUUUUCACGCAUGGGCCGGCGGCUCUCCGUGUGGUUACCGCCGCCUUGACCUUCGUACCGAGAGAGAAAGAGAGAGGCACCGUGUUCGUGAUACAGCUCGGUAUCUCCGAGGUGAGGGAGCAGGCUGUUGCAGGACCGUGACGCUGGUGCUCCGUGCUUGCGGACGGGGUGAUGCUGCACUGGUGGUAUGCAUUCACCAAUGGAGCACACCCCAACCUCGGCCAGCGGAGGUGCUGGCCGCUUUGUAUCGACCUCGCCGGUGGCCCUUUCCGCAGGCAGUAGUGUGCAUGCAGCACCACGGCAGCCACUCACCAGCCGCGCCGGCUCGCUCACCGAGGGCGGACUGAGCAAACCGUUGGGCAGCAUUCAGGUACUCGUGUCCGAACGGGUCUCAUUACCCGCCUCGCUCUCAUGCGCUGCUUUGGGGUCUCUCCAGACCUCCAGUGCUGCCGAAGAAGCUUUUGUGAGCUGCUCAUCGCUCCCGGCGGUGGCGGCGAAGAGUCCUUCCGCGCAGCGCUCACCUCCCUGGAAGUGCGGUCGCCUGUACUUCGUGAGCCCCACCACGGCGCUGGACGUUGGGGCCGCUGAUUACAACACCGUUUACCCUCGGUGCUGCUCUCUCGAGUAUCUCGCCGGGCUUGCUGUUGCCGCCUACAUAAUUUUGUACGGCUUCGCAGCGAUUCGAGACUUCUGCGACCGCCACGCGAAAUACUACUGGAUAAAACUCGUCUACCCAACUCCACUGUUCCUGCGGCUUGGCACCAAUGGCUACGACAACUUGACCGAUAAGCAGUGGACGGGGUUCUGCGGACAAUAUCCGAAGCUCCUGGGGGUGGCGCUUCUCCUUGGCGCGUGGUCAGCUCUGUGUCGAGACUCGAGGGCUUCGUCGCCUCCGUCAUCUUCGUCCUCUCCGCUGUCCGCCUUUACGACAGGAAAGCAACGCGCCGAUGUCGGAGACCGACGUCCUCCGGGUACUCCUCUAGCCUCCGUUUACCAACUCUGCUCCCACGCCGCCCUCACGCUCGCAGAGCGGGUCAUCCUUUACCGCUCAUCGUGUAUUCCUGCCUUCUACACGGUUGUGGGCGUCGUCUUCGUCAUCUUUGUGCACGGCCCGCACUUUUUCCUCCCGCUGCUCAUCAUCAUCGCCAACUACGUCAUCUUCUCGCGGCUGCAGCGCUGGUGCCCCUACUGGCUGUUCAUGGUCAUCAUGUGGGCCGCGCACGUCACUCUCCUGUACCUCAUCGAGAUCAACGAUGGGUUCGAGCAGACGUACUGGCUGCAGUACUUCGUACCCACUUCCGAGAAGGUUGCUUGGGCUGUGCUGGCCGAGGUCCGGAUACCUCUCUGGAAGCAGCGUAUGCGCUGGUGCGUAGCCUUCCGCAUGUCGACGCUGCGCCUCAUCGCCUUCAACUACGACCUGUGGGAGGCCACGCACGCCGCCGCACGCGCGCGCGACCGUGCCAGGGCGAAGCACGACACCGGCUGCGUCGAGUGCGCGCAGCUGCGCGAGCAGAACGCAGCGUCGGCGGCCGCGCUGCCCGCCGAGGCGUUGCGCUGCUACAAGUACCGCACCGAGUACGCGCGCGACCCCGCCGACUACAACUUCCUGAACUACGCCGCCUACGUGCUGUUCCCGCCACUGUACCUUGCCGGGCCAAUGUCGUCCUUCAACGCGUUCGUGUCGCACAUGCGCGUGCCGAGCACGUCGAUGCCGCUGCGCAAGAUGGUGAGGUACGCGUUUGGCAUCCUCCGCAUCUACAUCACGGAGUACACGCUGUUGCACUUUGUGCACAUCCCGUGCCUCGGCUCGUACGCCUUCGUGAUCCUUCGGAUGACGUUGCUGGAGCAGGCGCACUUCCUGUUCUACAUGCUGGCCUACCUGUGGCUGAAGUUCAGCUUUAUAUGGAAGUCGUCGCGUCUCUUCGCCAUGUUCAGCGGCAUCGAAGUUCCGGAGGACAUGCGGCGCUGCUUCGGCAACACGCUGACGGUGCGGGGCUUCUGGCGCGACUGGCACGCCUCCUUCAACCUGUGGAUCGUGCGGUACAUGUACAUCCCGAUGGGUGGCCGCAGCCGCGUCGCGCUGUCGGUGCUGCCCAUCUUCCUGUUCAUUGCGGUGUGGCACGACCCGGCGCUGCACCUUGUCAAGUGGGCGGUGUGCAUUGCCGCGAUGUUCGUGGCGGAGGUGGCGGUGAGCGGGUGCUUUGGGUGGGCCGCUGCGGCGUUCCGGCGCGAGAUGGCCGCCGCGGCACCGACGGGCGCAGUAAGUGAUGCUGCGCUGGAGAACGGUCGCCCCACGAACUGCGCGCCGCGCCGCAGUCUGCUGGCACGGCUGGCGAGGCUCUCUGCGCGUCGCUUGAGCCCGCGCACGCGAGCUUGGCUGCACCGCCAAAUCCGCGUUGUAGGCGGGAUGUCAACUGUCUUCGCGCUUAUUGUGGCAAACCUUAUCGGUUUCUCGAUGCAAAACAGCUCAGCUACAAUCGCGAAGAUUGGCACUACCUUGGAGCCCACGGAUGCAGAGGACAUUAUCGCAAGAUCAUUCUCGCAGUUGACGCCGUGGUUUGCUACUGGUCUUCUCGUCUCUCUGUACACCCUGUCAUCGCUAGCCGUCAUUGACCGGGACAUGCAAGCGCACAUGAUGUCAUGGUUACGGCAGCAGUAUAAGCUGAAUAAGAGAACCAGCGGGGCAACUCCUGUCGAAGGGAGGACCUGAGAGAACGUAUGACUGUCGGCGGAUGUGAAGAGUCGCCGCCUCUGCGGACCUUCACGCUCUUUGUAGUUCUGGCGGUUGCUCUCCGGGCUGAGGGUCUGCAUGCGCAGGCGGGUGCAUAGGAGUGUGAGCCACUGGUGGUGUCGUCCUCAUGUGCCGCUGGCAUAGCUGCUUGUGGACGCCGCUCUAUACAUCCAUUCAUCUGUGCAUAUAUAUAUAUAUGUAGAUAUAUGCAUAUACAUCCGUGUGUGUGUGUUCUCCGUUUUUUAUUCCCACUCAUCCCAGUGCUUUCCCAAGCCAGAAGCGUCGAAGAAUGAACGAAUGGAGCGAAGCAGGGCAGAAAAUAACUUCAAAAAAGGAAAAUACG